CCUACGGGGGGCUGCAGUGGGGAAUAUUGCACAAUGGGCGCAAGCCUGAUGCAGCCAUGCCGCGUGUGUGAAGAAGGCCUUCGGGUUGUAAAGCACUUUCAGCGGGGAGGAAGGCGGUGAGGUUAAUAACCUCAUCGAUUGACGUUACCCGCAGAAGAAGCACCGGCUAAUUCCGUGCCAGCAGCCGCGGUAAUACGGAGGGUGCAAGCGUUAAUCGGAAUUACUGGGCGUAAAGCGCACGCAGGCGGUCUGUCAAGUCGGAUGUGAAAUCCCCGGGCUCAACCUGGGAACUGCAUUCGAAACUGGCAGGCCAGAGUCUUGUAGAGGGGGGUAGAAUUCCAGGUGUAGCGGUGAAAUGCGUAGAGAUCUGGAGGAAUACCGGUGGCGAAGGCGGCCCCCUGGACAAAGACUGACGCUCAGGUGCGAAAGCGUGGGGAGCAAACAGGAUUAGAUACCCGAGUAGUC
rnacentral:rRNA from 1 species